UCCACCCCUUUGUGAACCAAGCGUGCGAGCCGAAGAGAGAUUCGGAGGCUUGCAUGCGCACCCUUUACAUACCCCAAUCAGUAUCAGAAUGUAACUUGCGUUAACUCGCACAUAUAUAACUUUCAACAACGGAUCUCUUGGCUCUCGCAUCGAUGAAGAACGCAGCGAAAUGCGAUAAGUAAUGUGAAUUGCAGAAUUCAGUGAAUCAUCGAAUCUUUGAACGCACCUUGCGCCCCUUGGCAUUCCGAGGGGCACGCCUGUUUGAGUGUCGUGAACUCCUCCACCCCCUACCUUUUUCGAAGGGUAUCGGGCUGGGAAUUGGGAGCUUGCGGGUCCCUGGUCGAUCCGCUCUCCUUGAAUACAUUAGCGAAGCCCUUGCGGCCUUGGUGUGAUAGUCAUCUACGCCUCGGCUUAGCGAACCCACGGACGUCGCUUCCAACCGUCUCGCAAGAGACAACGACCUACCAACUUGACCUCAAAUCAGGCGGGACUACCCGCUGAACUUAAGCAUAUCAAUAAGCGGAGGAAAAGAAGCUAACAAGGAUUCCCCUAGUAACUGCGAGUGAAGCGGGAUGAGCUCAAAUUUAAAAUCUGGCGUCUUCGGCGUCCGAGUUGUAAUUUAGAGAAGCGUCUUCCGUGC
rnacentral:rRNA from 1 species